CCGCGAUAUUUGAUAGCGGCCCCGAGACGCGCCUGGCGCGGAUCCUAAAUCCCGACAGCUUUAUGGAGCCCAGGCCUGGCAGGCUCCCAGAACUUGAAGCCACCAGACCCCACAUGGAACCAAAGGCCUCCUGUCCAGCUGCUGCACCCUUGAUGGAGAGAAAAUUCCAUGUUCUUGUGGGUGUCACGGGGAGUGUCGCAGCCCUGAAGUUGCCUCUUCUGGUGUCAAAGCUUUUGGACAUUCCUGGGCUGGAAGUAGCAGUGGUCACAACUGAGAGAGCCAAACAUUUCUACAGCCCCCAGGACAUUGCUGUCACCCUCUACAGCGACGCUGAUGAAUGGGAGAUGUGGAAGAGCCGCUCUGACCCAGUUCUGCACAUUGACCUGCGGAGGUGGGCAGACCUCCUGCUGGUGGCUCCUCUUGAUGCCAACACUCUGGGGAAGGUGGCCAGUGGCAUCUGUGACAACUUGCUUGUGAGUGAUGUCCUGGUGCCCUCGUCCGUCCCUGGGCCUCACACCCAGUUUGCUGAGCUGCAGACAUCCUUGUACAAGGAGACCUGCUGCUGUGGGGCCCCGGUCUGCCCAGGGAGAUCGUGCUCCGCCAUUCCCCACAUCGCCCCCAGUGCUCUCACCUUCUCUGUAGCACAUGGGCACAGCCCUGGUCCUGAUGGGUCAGUGUGACCUGCCACUGCUCCCCAGGAGUGUCCCCCUCUCCCCUGCCCUUGCACCCAGCCAGGUGCCCACAGGAAGACCCUUCUUCCUUGCUCUUUGUCCCUCCUCGUGGGCUGCCUGGGUGUGCUCUUCCACUGUCUCUGCCCAGCCCCAUCGCCUCCCGCUUCAGCUCUGCCUUCUCCGCAGAUCUGGGUAUACACGUGGGCAAUGUAAUUGGGGGUUCACUUCUUCAUAGAUGGCUCAUAUACACUUUAUCACCCUUGUAGCUUUCCUAUAUAUUAGGGGAAGCUUAGAGGGGAAGAGGGGAGAAAGACGGGGCAGUGGCGAGAGCCGAUGGGUGGUAGGGAGAAAUGGAAGUCCAGCUGUCCAAAGCGGGCACUGUCCUAGGCCUAAGAUGCCUCCAGGGAGCUGUUGCCCUUAAAGGGGAGCUGCCUUUGUUUAUAUGAUCGUCCUGGG
rnacentral:sRNA from 1 species